CCCGGGACAGCGCUUCUCCAGGAACUCUUGGAAGCCCUGGACGCCCAUGCUUCGUCGGUGGGCAGACAAGACAGCGGCUGCGCGAGCAGGGGUGAAGCUUCUUCCUUCCACCUUCGGGAGCCAUGUUGUCUCGUCUUCUCUAUGCACCCCUUUUCUACCACCUUCUCGGCUUAUCCUCAUGGUUGUAGCAGGAGCCAUCCUUUAUGUACCUUCACAGAGAAUUUGGGACUGAGCUGAGAAGAGUGAAAAAUCCUGGCUGCAUUCAACCAUUUUAUUUAUUUGUUCCUCAGGUCCAUCUGCAUUAUCCCUGGGUUUUGUGAGACACCACCAUCUUUAUAAUAAAUUCCUCUUUUUGCUUAA